GAAAGAUUUAUCGGAAGAGGAUGGGCAUGCGGCGCAUUAGCUAGACGGCGGGGUAACGGCCCACCGUGGCGACGAUGCGUAGGGGUUCUGAGAGGAAGGUCCCCCACACUGGUACUGAGACACGGACCAGACUCCUACGGGAGGCAGCAGUGAGGAAUAUUGGUCAAUGGGAGAGAUCCUGAACCAGCCAAGCCGCGUGAGGGAAGACGGCCCUAUGGGUUGUAAACCUCUUUUGUCGGAGAACAAGACCCGGGACGUGUCCCGGACUGCGUGUAUCCGAAGAAAAAGCAUCGGCUAACUCCGUGCCAGCAGCCGCGGUAAUACGGAGGAUGCGAGCGUUAUCCGGAUUUAUUGGGUUUAAAGGGUGCGUAGGCGGUCCGUUAAGUCAGCGGUAAAAUUGCGGGGCUCAACCCCGUCGAGCCGUUGAAACUGGCAGACUUGAGUUGGCGAGAAGUACGCGGAAUGCGCGGUGUAGCGGUGAAAUGCAUAGAUAUCGCGCAGAACUCCGAUUGCGAAGGCAGCGUACCGGCGCCAGACUGACGCUGAGGCACGAAAGCGUGGGGAUCGAACAGGAUUAGAUACCCUGGUAGUCCACGCAGUAAACGAUGAAUGCUGGUUGUCCGGGUCGAAUGAGAUCUGG
rnacentral:rRNA from 1 species